rnacentral:rRNA from 1 species
GACGAACGCUGGCGGCGUGCUUAACACAUGCAAGUCGAACGGAAAGACCCUGCUUUUGUGGGGUGCUCGAGUGACGAACGGGUGAGUAACACGUGAGUAACCUGCCCUUGACUUUGGGAUAACUUCAGGAAACUGGGGCUAAUACCGGAUAGGAGCUCCUGCUGCAUGGUGGGGGUUGGAAAGUUUCGGCGGUUGGGGAUGGACUCGCGGCUUAUCAGCUUGUUGGUGGGGUAGUGGCUUACCAAGGCUUUGACGGGUAGCCGGCCUGAGAGGGUGACCGGCCACAUUGGGACUGAGAUACAGCCCAGACUCCUACGGGAGGCAGCAGUGGGGAAUAUUGCACAAUGGGCGGAAGCCUGAUGCAGCAACGCCGCGUGCGGGAUGACGGCCUUCGGGUUGUAAACCGCUUUCGCCUGUGACGAAGCGUGAGUGACGGUAAUGGGUAAAGAAGCACCGGCUAACUACGUG